GGACCAGACUCCUACGGGAGGCAGCAGUGGGGAAUAUUGCACAAUGGGGGAAACCCUGAUGCAGCGACGCCGCGUGAGUGAAGAAGUAAUUCGUUAUGUAAAGCUCUAUCAGCAGGGAAGAAAAUGAUGGUACCUGAGUAAGAAGCCCCGGCUAACUACGUGCCAGCAGCCGCGGUAAUACGUAGGGGGCAAGCGUUAUCCGGAUUUACUGGGUGUAAAGGGAGCGUAGACGGCAGUGCAAGUCUGGAGUGAAAGGCGGGGGCUCAACCCCGGGACUGCUCUUGGAACUGCGCGGCUGGAGUGCAGGAGGGGCAGGCGGAAUUCCUGGUGUAGCGGUGAAAUGCGUAGAUAUCAGGAGGAACACCGGUGGCGAAGGCGGCUUACUGGACUGUAACUGACGUUGAGGCUCGAAAGCGUGGGGAGCAAACAGGAUUAGAUACCCGGGUAGC
rnacentral:rRNA from 1 species